AGCGAACGCUGGCGGCAGGCUUAACACAUGCAAGUCGAACGGGCGUAGCAAUACGUCAGUGGCAGACGGGUGAGUAACGCGUGGGAACGUACCUUUUGGUUCGGAACAACACAGGGAAACUUGUGCUAAUACCGGAUAAGCCCUUACGGGGAAAGAUUUAUCGCCGAAAGAUCGGCCCGCGUCUGAUUAGCUAGUUGGUGAGGUAACGGCUCACCAAGGCGACGAUCAGUAGCUGGUCUGAGAGGAUGAUCAGCCACAUUGGGACUGAGACACGGCCCAAACUCCUGCGGGAGGCAGCAGUGGGGAAUAUUGGACAAUGGGCGCAAGCCUGAUCCAGCCAUGCCGCGUGAGUGAUGAAGGCCCUAGGGUUGUAAAGCUCUUUUGUGCGGGAAGAUAAUGACGGUACCGCAAGAAUAAGCCCCGGCUAACUUCGUGCCAGCAGCCGCGGUAAAGUCUGUACU
rnacentral:rRNA from 1 species